AGAGUUUGAUCCUGGCUCAGAUUGAACGCUGGCGGCAGGCCUAACACAUGCAAGUCGAGCGGAUGAAAGGAGCUUGCUCCUGGAUUCAGCGGCGGACGGGUGAGUAAUGCCUAGGAAUCUGCCUGAUAGUGGGGGACAACGUUUCGAAAGGAACGCUAAUACCGCAUACGUCCUACGGGAGAAAGCAGGGGACCUUCGGGCCUUGCGCUAUCAGAUGAGCCUAGGUCGGAUUAGCUAGUUGGUGAGGUAAUGGCUCACCAAGGCGACGAUCCGUAACUGGUCUGAGAGGAUGAUCAGUCACACUGGAACUGAGACACGGUCCAGACUCCUACGGGAGGCAGCAGUGGGGAAUAUUGGACAAUGGGCGAAAGCCUGAUCCAGCCAUGCCGCGUGUGUGAAGAAGGUCUUCGGAUUGUAAAGCACUUUAAGUUGGGAGGAAGGGUUGUAGAUUAAUACUCUGCAAUUUUGACGUUACCGACAGAAUAAGCACCGGCUAACUCUGUGCCAGCAGCCGCGGUAAUACAGAGGGUGCAAGCGUUAAUCGGAAUUACUGGGCGUAAAGCGCGCGUAGGUGGUUCAGUAAGUUGGAAGUGAAAUCCCCGGGCUCAACCUGGGAACUGCUUUCAAAACUGCUGAGCUAGAGUACGGUAGAGGGUGGUGGAAUUUCCUGUGUAGCGGUGAAAUGCGUAGAUAUAGGAAGGAACACCAGUGGCGAAGGCGACCACCUGGACUGAUACUGACACUGAGGUGCGAAAGCGUGGGGAGCAAACAGGAUUAGAUACCCUGGUAGUCC
rnacentral:rRNA from 1 species